ensembl:lincRNA
AGCCUCCCAAGUAGCUGGGACUACUGGUGUGUGUCACUGCACCCAGCUAAUUUAAUUUAAUUUAAUUUAUUUUUUUUGUACAGACACAGUCUUGCUAUUUUUCUCAGACUGGUCUGAAACUCCUGGCCUCAAAUGAUCCUUCUGCUUCUGCCUCCGAAAGUGGUGAAAUUACAGGCUGGGGCUACCAUGCCCAGCCAGAACGUGAACUUCUAACAAUUUACCAGGUGAUGCUGCUGCUGUCUGUUCCUGGACCACACUUGAGUUGUCUUUCUUUGCAUCUUCCACCCAGCAUUGCUUAAUAGAGAGUGAUCUGUCUCAGCAAGGCCCACGUCCUCUACUCUCCACCCAGGCUUUCCUCUGACCCCUCUGGUCCUUGUUCACCGUGGUCUGGCAGCUGUGGGCUUUACAGUGGGAGGAACUAUGGAGGAUCCACUACAGAAAAUGCAGAGGUGUAAAAACAGUGACAACCGAGAGCCUGAAGCUGCUGGGAUGAGUGCCCGACGCAGAAUCCUGUUCCCUGGCAGGCAUAUUUACACUGCGCUCCAGUGCUUGGGCCUGCUCCUUCCAAGAAGACAGGAUGCCAGGAUGGCCGGGACUCCGCUCGCUGGGACACCAUGGUCUUUGUGAGCAGCAGGCCUGAAGUGGUGAAAGCCAUCAUGAAGGUGAGGGUCAAGUGCUGAACGGUCACUUUAGAAAGGCAGCGGCCUGGCCUUCUG